GCUACUCUUCUGCGUGUGACGCCUUCCUCACGCUCGCCGUCUCUCUCUCUCUCCUCCACGCCCUAAUCCUCUCUCCUUCUCACAUGCCGCCGCCGAUCUCCUUCCACGAAGCGCCGCCAGGUGCUACCUCCGCCGCGUCGCACUCGCGCUGCCGUCCCUCUGCCUCACCGAUCUCCCCGCCCCCGCUCACCUCACAACCACCUCCAUCCCGUGGUCGCCGACUCUCCCCCCUUCUUCGCGCCGGCCUCCCUCCGCCACCCACCUCACAACUACCUCCAGUACUCUGGCGUGCCGGUGCGGCUGCGGCAGGGAGGCGGCGGCUCGCGGGCUCGACCGGCCGGCGCUUCGUGCCGUGCGGCUGCGGCGAGCCGGCGAGUGGCAACUGCGGCGCGGCCGCGCGGCGCGACUCCCAGGUAGGGGCGCACCGGCGGCAGCGCCACAGCGGCUCGGGCGGCGCUGCAGUGCCACGCAGGGCGCCGGCACGCCAUCUCGGCCACCUCCUCAGCACCUCCUCAGCAGGUUUGGAUAUCAUGAAAGGUCCCAUAUUGGAGAUUACUACAUAUAGCAUACGGAUUAGUGAAACCAAUGGACAACCUCCCUGCUUCGAGCACCCCACGCCUCCACUUCGUCGCCGCCUUGAACCACCCCUCUUCCUUCCCAGGUGGCUCGUCGCCACUGCCAUCCCCCAGCUAAUGCCCACCACCGUGCGCCUUAGCCCACCACCAUCGCCUCGUCUCGUGUCGCCAUCUCCCCUCAACACAGUGCGCUGUGGCUGCUACACAUUAACUCCGCUCGACAUCGCCGCCUGCCCACCGCUGUCGGUGCUGUCGAUUUGUCGUCAUCCUCAACUCUGCAUCUUCGCCAUAAGGAAGGCAAUGCAAUGGAUGGGGAUAUUGGCGGUUUCCUGUGGACAAAGGGGAAAGAUGGUAGCGACAAUAGCGGUGGUUUCCUGCGGACAAAGGGGGAGAGAUGGUAGCGACAACGGCUGGCAGCACGAGCUUGAGUCGCCUGACAGUUGCUUGCCUUCCUCUGGAUUGUGCACACAAGAACUGUUGGCCAGGUUCUCCCUCCAUUUUAGCUUAAACUCAAUUGGUGAUGAUGAACAACCCACAACCAUGGAGAUCAACUAUUAUUACUAUAAGCGUAAGGGGGCAUGUGCCCCCAUCUGUGCUCCGCUCCGUUGCAUCGUUGCAACGACGGUGCGGAGAGGGCAAGAUAAAAGAGGUGCUAAUAGUCGCGGUUGGUCGCGUUGUGCUCAUCUACAAAGAAUCGUGCGUAUGCAUGUCUUGAUGGAUAUGCUUACCGACCUUAUGGAGAUUUGUCUUUGUGGAUAUAUGGUUUGCGGUGCUUUCGGGUUGCUGGAUUUGUCUUACAGAGAUGUCUCGGUGGAUAUGUGGUUCUCCCUCCACUUUAGUUUAAGCUCCAUUGGUGAUGAUGAGCAACCCACAACCAUGGAGAUCAACUAUUAUUACUAUAAGCGUAAGGGGGCAUGUGCCCCCAUUGCCUCCUUGUGGGCUUCGCUCCAUUACAUCGUUGCAACGACGGUGCGGAGAGGGCAGGAUAGAAGAGGCGCUACUCGUAGCAGUUGGUCGCGCUGUGCUCGUCUACAAAGAAUCAUGCGUAGGUAUGUCUUGGUGGAUAUAUGGUUUGCGGUGUUUUGGAGAUGCUGGAGUUGCUCGGUGGAUAUGUGGUUUGAGGUGCUUUGGAGUUCCUGAGUUGCUCCUU
rnacentral:lncRNA from 1 species